rnacentral:rRNA from 1 species
GACGAACGCUGGCGGCGUGCCUAACACAUGCAAGUCGAACGUGAUUUUUGUGGAAAUUCUUUCGGGAAUGGAAAUGAAAUGAAAGUGGCGAACGGGUGAGCAACACGUGAGCAACCUACCUUACACAGGGGGAUAGCCGUUGGAAACGACGAUUAAUACCGCAUGAGACCACAGAAUCGCAUGAUAUAGGGGUCAAAGAUUUAUCGGUGUAAGAAGGGCUCGCGUCUGAUUAGCUAGUUGGAAGGGUAAAGGCCUACCAAGGCGACGAUCAGUAGCCGGUCUGAGAGGAUGAACGGCCACAUUGGAACUGAGACACGGUCCAAACUCCUACGGGAGGCAGCAGUGGGGAAUAUUGCACAAUGGGGGGAACCCUGAUGCAGCGACGCCGCGUGAGCGAAGAAGGUUUUCGAAUCGUAAAGCUCUGUCCUAUGAGAAGAUAAUGACGGUAUCAUAGGAGGAAGCCCCGGCUAAAUACGUG